CAAGACUUUGAUCAAUAGCUGAUUUGAGAGGAUGAUCAGCCACAUUGGGACUGAGACACGGCCCAAACUCCUACGGGAGGCAGCAGUGGGGAAUCUUGCACAAUGGAGGAAACUCUGAUGCAGCGAUGCCGCGUGAGUGAAGAAGGCCCUUGGGUUGUAAAGCUCUUUCGUCGGGGAAGAAAAUGACUGUACCCGAAUAAGAAGGUCCGGCUAA
rnacentral:rRNA from 1 species